GCAGCCGCCGCGGGAAUACGGAGGGGGCUAGCGUUGUUCGGAAUUACUGGGCGUAAAGCGCACGUAGGCGGCUUGGUAAGUUAGAGGUGAAAGCCUGGAGCUCAACUCCAGAAUUGCCUUUAAGACUGCCGAGCUAGCAGGUGAGAGAGGUAAGUGGAAUUCCGAGUGUAGAGGUGAAAUUCGUAGAUAUUCGGAAGAACACCAGUGGCGAAGGCGGCUUACUGGCUCAUACUGGACGCUGAGAUGCGAAAGCGUGGGGAGCAAACAGGAUUAGAUACCCCAGUAGUCCCUGUCUCUUAUAC
rnacentral:rRNA from 1 species